rnacentral:hammerhead_ribozyme from 17 species
CAAGCGUCUGGGGUUAGUAGAGAGUCGCUGCCAUCAGCUUCACUGACGAGUCUAUAGGCAGUGACUCCGAGACGAAACGCCGC